rnacentral:piRNA from 1 species
UAAACAUGAUUUAUCUCCCCAUAAGGCCAG